rnacentral:rRNA from 1 species
UACGAAGGGGGCUAGCGUUGUUCGGAAUCACUGGGCGUAAAGGGCGCGUAGGCGGCCUGAUAAGUCGGGGGUGAAAGCCUGUGGCUCAACCACAGAAUUGCCUUCGAUACUGUUAGGCUUGAGACCGGAAGAGGUAAGUGGAACUGCGAGUGUAGAGGUGAAAUUCGUAGAUAUUCGCAAGAACACCAGUGGCGAAGGCGGCUUACUGGUCCGGUUCUGACGCUGAGGCGCGAAAGCUAGGGUAGCAAACGGG